UUACGGCCACAUCACGUUGAAACACCUGUUCCCGUACGAUCUCCGAAGUUAAACAACGUCGAGCCUGGUUACUACCUAGAUGGGUGACCGCUUGGGAAUACCAGGGGUUGUAAG
rnacentral:rRNA from 1 species